UAACUGUAGUGUUUUAAAAAUAAAUGAACUGCUAGUAUCAGUUUCACAUGGAUCUGGCUUUCAGACACACAUGCACAUGUCUGCACGCUGAUAAUGUGUGUGUGUGGGUGUGGAUGUGAAAGGAGCAGUGGGCGGCAAAAACCACACACACACAGUCGCAUCACACCUUUAAGUGUGCCUCAGGUGCAAGAGAAGAUAAAAUGGGAGAGUAUGACAUCAUGAAUGAUGUCAUGAAGGAAGCAUGUAGGAUGUAUCGCUAGCCAGAAAUAUCUGCAGGAUUGUUUAGUCUUGUUGUUGAGUUUCCCUGCUGUGAUAAGGAGCAGGGUAAACACGACCGGUGGGACCCGAGCGGGCUGCACUCACACUGGGCUGACAGCCGGCCGAGAACGCAGGCUGUGGGCCUCUCAACAACCACACGCAGGUCAGGAAACAUCUGGGUGACUGAAAGCAACAGAUGCCGUAGCCCGAUAAGGGAAGCACUCUCCACCCCACUGAACCGGCCUCUCACACGUCCAGUACAAGCAGGACCAGGCCUCCAGCUUAUCGAGAUUUGGGAAAAAGUAACAAGAAAGAGUGGACAGUCUUUGCCUAGUAGCUCUUUACAGCCAAGGUCGUGAUCCCCGGGCCUGUUAAAGACCCCCCUGGGGUUGAGGCUGCAACCGGAUAUUUAAAAUAACAGUGCGAGGGUCCUGCUGGAGCCCUGCGCUGCGUGAGGAGGGAGCAGGAGAGGUUAGGGGUCAAGACACUGGCCAACAUACAUCAGCAAGUGCCAGUGCAGAGCCAAUGACUCUAUCAAUGAAAGACAAAGAGAAGAAAUCCAGAGCAAAUGAGUACAAGAACAAUAAAACAAGCUGUUUAAAACA
ensembl:lncRNA